AUUGAACGCUGGCGGCAUGCCUUACACAUGCAAGUCGAACGGCAGCACGGGUGCUUGCACCUGGUGGCGAGUGGCGAACGGGUGAGUGAUACAUCGGAACGUACCUUAUCGUGGGGGAUAACGCAGCGAAAGCUGUGCUAAUACCGCAUACGUCCUGAGGGGGAAAGCGGGGGAUCGCAAGACCUCGCGCGAUUAGAGCGGCUGAUGCCUGAUUAGCUAGUUGGUGGGGUAAAAGCCCACCAAGGCGACGAUCAGUAGCUGGUCUGAGAGGACGAUCAGCCACACUGGGACUGAGACACGGCCCAGACUCCUACGGGAGGCAGCAGUGGGGAAUUUCGGACAAUGGGGGCAACCCUGAUCCAGCAAUGCCGCGUGAGUGAAGAAGGCCUUCGGGUUGUAAAGCUCUUUUGUCAGGGAAGAAACAGCAGCUCUAACACAGUUUGCGAAUGACGGUACCUGAAGAAUAAGCACCGGCUAACUACGUGCCAGCAGCCGCCGUAA
rnacentral:rRNA from 1 species